GGGCCCGUAGCUCAGCUUGGACAGAGCGUUCGGCUUCGGACCGAGAGGUCUAGGGUUCAAAUCCCUACGGGCUCG
rnacentral:tRNA from 1 species